CCCACCGGAACCCAUGGAACCCGUUUACUUCUAAACAAACCCUUUCCGUCUUCGACCCUUUCCGUCAUUCUCCAAAACGCAACUCUCUUUCUCUGGAACUCAACCCAAUCUGGGUUUGCUGCACUGAGGUAGACGCACACUCACGCCACUCUCUCUCUCUCUCUUCCAGAUCUGAAACCCAGAGACCCCCCAGAAGCCCUUGGUUCAGCUACAAGGACGAUCGCGGAUAUAUAGAGCCACAAAGGUGACUGUAGAUGACAAAUAUGCUCCGGAGAACCCUUGCUACUUAUGCGAGCAGUGCUAUUAGCUUCUUCACUAAAAGGGUGAUGGUUCUCUGCAUUAUCAGGACUUUGAAGUGUGAUUAUCAGCAUGAUCAACCGCGUUGAUGCAUUGAUGUCUUUGUAGAAUGCCACCAAAGUAACUCCCUCUUCAUGUCUUUUAUAUUACUUCUCCUUUUAUUCCAUGAUUUGGCUCUCUGCACGUCACAGCAAUGUGAAUACGAAAAUUGGCCAUCAUUACGCUCAUGAAUGUGCUGUGCAAUUCUGUAGAAAUCGAAUAUCUGCAUAGUACAGUUCAAUAUAUGCAGAGAAAAGCAUGAUUGUAUAUAUUGCAUAUGUAUCUGAAGGUUGCACUCAUUUGAAUUUGAAAUAUUAGCUGAACCAUGUCCAUUUUUUUAUUGAA